UACGUAGGGGGCAAGCGUUGUCCGGAUUCAUUGGGCGUAAAGAGCGUGUAGGCGGCCAGAUAGGUCAGCUGUGAAAACCUCGGGGCUCAACCCUGAGACGUCGGUUGAAACCAUCUGGCUAGAGUCCGGAAGAGGAGUGUGGAAUUCCCGGUGUAGCGGUGAAAUGCGCAGAUAUCAGGAAGAACACCCGUGGCGGAAGGCGGCUCUCUGGGACGGUACUGACGCUGAGACGCGAAAGCGUGGGGGAGCGAACAGG
rnacentral:rRNA from 1 species